CCGCCAUGGGCCUGCGCCGCCUCGGGACCGGGGUCAGGGUGCCACGGCUUACCAAUGGAAGAUUAGGCCAGAUGGCUCCUGAGAGUGCUUUGGGAGAUUCUCUGUUCCUUCUGGGAAUGGCAGGGAUAGGAGGGGGUCCCAGAAGUUUGAACGCUUUGGCAUCCAAGAAAUCACACUCCAAAUACUGCUCUUCUGGCCUCCCCUGGGCUGCCUUCUCCAACCGUGUUCCUGGGAACCGAAGGGCAGAAAUUGCCCUCUUGGGCUUAUAAACAAGGAGCUCCUGCCUGCCUGGAUGAAGAGGAGGUCAAGACUUUGUCCCCCACUCCGCAAGAUACCCUCUCUGUUCCGGAGCGGUGGGUCCCUCCCCUGUUAGGACCUUGUCUCCCUCAGGACUGGACCUGGAUCCUGGGCCUGCAGUCAGAUUGCCAGUUUCACUUAGAGGUGGAAAUGUCAACCCACUGGUUGGAAUGGGAAGGUGAGACAGGAUUUCACCAUGUUAGCCAGGAUGGUCUUGAUCUCCUGACCUCAUGAUCUGCCCACCUCGGCCUCCCAAAGUGCUGGGCUUACAGGCGUGAGCCACCGUGCCCGGCCAAAAAUAACUUUUAAAAACAUGAGUAUAGCAUACACACACACAAAAGUCCACAAAUCCUAGGUGUACCACUUGAUGAAUGAUCCCAACGUGAGCACACCUCUGGAUUACCACCUGGAUCAAGAAAUAGGACAUCACAGCAGCUGGCAGCUUCCAAGGAGAAGCUCUGGAAAGUUCUGCCUGUCUCAGCACCUGGCUGGAUCGGAAACGAGUUUUCUUUAACCAGAUUUUUAAUGACUGACUUAUGUGGACAAAUCAUAACUGAAUGAAUCACCUCCUUUGUUGAUUUUUUUGGGUACUUUAUUUGCUAUUAUAAAUGAUGCUGUAAUAAGCACCCUUGAAGAAAUCUUCAUAUCUGCCUCUCCUGUGUAGCAGGUCACAGUGCCUGGGUUUGGUUCUAGCCCUCAUUUGUGAACUGUGUGACUCACCAUGCCUUUUUUCUUUCUGUAAGACAGGAAUAAUGGUAAGAAUUUAAAUGGGGGUAAUAUGGAGCGCGUUUAGUUCAGAGCCUGGUGCAUACAAGCACUCAAUAAGUACUGGCGAUUAUUAGACCUUUAGAUUAAUUUAUUAGAAGUUGGAUUUCUGGUGAAAGGGUUUGAGUGUUUUUGAGGCUUUGGCACAGAAUACCCAGCUGGUCCCAGAAAGGUGGUUCCCAUUUACCUGCCCGAAGGUAAUUCACCCUUACUGAUACUGAGUACUGUUUUCUAAAAGAACAUUAAAAAUUGGAUAGGUUAAAAACAGGUGAAUACAUUUUUUUAGUUGCAUUUUUUUGGUUACCCGUGAGAGUGAACAUGUUGCCAUGUGUUUGCUGACCUCCUAAAUGGUCUAUUUGCUCCUACCUUUGUACCCCAAAAGUCUGCUCUCAAGAUGGUAGCCAGAAUGAUCCUUUUUGAGACAUAAGUCAAAAUUUCACUCUUCUCCUUAAAGCUCUGCAAUGGUUCUCAGGUUAAAAGCCAAAGUCCUGUUCAAGGCCUCCAGGGUCCUCACCACUUGGUCCCUUGCUCUUUCUGUUCUAGCCAACUUGGCCUUCUCCUGCCCCUCCGCCGCACCAUGGCAAUUUCCCCUGCUCUGUGUGGUCAACUACCUGAAUCUGUUCAAAGCUUUGCUCAAAUGUCUCCUUCCUGAUGAGACCUCCCCAGCCCCUGAGCUCCCCAUGCCUCACUCCUGAUCGCCUUACUUAACCCUUCUUUUUCUUUUUUGCCAGUAGUACUUAUCACCGUCUAAAAUACUUCAUAAUUUACUUGUUUAUUGUUUGCCCCUCUCCAAUAGAAUGUAAGCUCCUUGGGGCAGGGACCUUUGUCCUUUGUCUUGUUCACUGCUGUGUCCCAUGUGUAAACUUGUCUGGCACAGAAGAGGUGCUCGAUAAAUAUUUGUUGAGUGAAUGAAUGGUAAAUUUUCUGUUCAUAUUCUUUGACUAUUUUCUAUUGUAAUGUUCAUCUUUUUAGUAUUGGUUUAUAAGAUGUAUAUUUAGCACCUUUUCAUAUAUCACUCUUUGUCACAUAUUAUGCAACUAAUUUGUCAUUUCCAUCAAUUUUUAAAAUACUUUCUUGAUGCUUCAUUUUUAAGCUGUCAGAUUAUUAAUCUUUUCUUUAUGGUCUUGGACUUUAUUGUUGCAUAACCGCUGCCUUCACCAGGAACAUAUAAAUUUUCAAUUAAAUGUUCUUCUGAGAUUUUAUGAUUUCACUUUUUAUAUUAAACUCUUCAUUUUGUCUUCAUGUGUGGUGAGAGGUAAGAACAUAACUUUAAAGCAAAUUAACCAACUAUCCCCAAAUGAAUUAUAAAUAAAUUAAUCAUUUUCCAAUGAUCUGAAAGGCCAUUUUAUCAUACACUAAAUAUUUUUGUGUGUUUGACUGGGUUUACCGUUCUGUUCCGUUGGCCUAUCACAUCGUUCUUACAUUGGUAUUUGUUGCCCUAUUUUAAUGAUUGUAACUUUUUAAUAAGGGUUAAUGACUGAGAAUACAAGUCCCAUUGUUUUGUUUUAUUAUUUUUAUUAUUUUUUUGAGACAGGGUUUCACUCUGUCACCCAGGCUGGAGUAUAGUAGCACUAUCUCGGCUCAUUGCAACCUCUGCCUCCCUGGUUCAAGUGAUUCUCCCACCUCAACCUCCCGAGUAGCUGGGACUACAGAUGCAUGCCACCACACCCAGCUAAUUCUUGUAUUUUUAGUAGAGACAGGGUUUCACCAUGUUGACCAGGCUGGUCUUGAACUCCUGGCUUCAAGUGAUUCACCUGCCUCGACCUCCCAAAGUGCUGGGAUUACAGGCGUGACUCACCACGCCUGGCCCAUUUUUUUCUUUUGAGGUGUUCUUUGUGGCAAUUCAUAUAUUCUUUAAGAUAAAUUCUAAACUUUUUUUUUCUGCCGAGAUAAACUAGCAGACAAAUCCCACUGGACAUUGCAAUUGGAUUAGUUUUGUAGAUUAAUUUAGUGAUAAUCAACUUCUUUGCACCAUUGAGUGCUUCUGUCCGGGAACGUGGCAUAUCUUUCUAUUAUUAAGGUCUUUUUUAUUAUAGGUCUUUAGGGAAGCUUUAUUUUAUAGAUGAAUGUAGUGUGUUUGGUGCUUAUUUUCAUAAAAUAAAGCAAUGACAUCUGUGGCAGGCAGCUUCUGAAAUGGCUCCCAAUGAUCCUUACCUUCUGAUAGUCACCCCCUUGGAGAAUCCCUUUCCUUUGUGUGUGGGCUGGAUCUAGUGACUUGCUUCUCAUAAAUAGAAUAUGGCAAAAAAUGAUGGGUUGUUACUUCUGAGAUUAGGUUAUAAGAGGCGAAUUUCUGUUUUGCUGUAAUUUUGUCUCUCUAACCCUCUUGCUUUCCUGUGCUCAUGAAACCAGCUGCUGUGUUGUGAGCCACCUUAUGGAAAACCCAUGUGGCAGAGAACCGAGGGUGGUGGCUGGCCAACAGCAAGCCAGGAGCUGAGGCCCACAGUCCAACAACUGGUGAGGAACCACAUGCUGCCAGCAGCCAUGUGAGGGAACUUAGAAGCAAAUCCUUCCCCAGUUGAGCCUUCAGAUGACACCAGAGCCUUGGCUGACCCCUUACUUUUACCCUUGUAAGAGACUUUGAGCCAGAAGACUUGGCUAAACCACACCUGGAUUCCUGACCCACAGAAACUUGAAAUAAUAAAUGUGUUGUUUUAAGUCACUCGGUUUUGGGGUAAUUUGUUACAUAGCAGAGAUAACUAAUAUAGCCCCCCUUUUUU
rnacentral:lncRNA from 10 species